UCUUCGUGUGUUUAUGUUUAAUCUUGGGAGGGGAAACUAGAGAUAAAACAAACACGCACUCGUUUCGCCCUCCUCUGAAACACAUCACGGGUUAUAAAGUAGUGUGGUUUUCCGGAGAAGUUAUUUUUGGCUCCGUUUGCAAAAGCAAGGUUCAGGUGAGUUUUUUUGAGUGCAGAUGCACGCAUGAACAGCCCCCACCUUACCCUUUCGAAGAAGAGUGAGAGGGGUUGACGAGCGUUUAUGUCUCCGUCAGCAUCACAAAGUCAGAUUAUCUGACCAUUAUCCUAGCUCUGUUUGUGCUGAAUCACUACCUGCAAAUUGGCUGCCACACUUCCUACAACAUAGAAGUGACAACCACUUAAAACUGGUUCAGAUCCCUUGGAUCGUCAGCGGGACAUUCAAAAGAGACACCUGCUCCGAAGUUACACCUAGGAGGUCCAAGAUCUUAAAAAAGGACUCCAUCUUCACCAAUCUGUCCUCGCAGCUCUCUGACCGAUACAAUUCAGAGUAGACUUUCCUGAAUGCCAUGUUAACCUUUUGGAAUCGCAGCCACAGAUUCGUAGCCACUGACUCCUGGGCUCAGACUCAACACAGACCCAGCAUGGCGGCCUCCUGGCUCAGUGAGGUGGACCUUUGGCCUGGUGUGGUCACCUCCAGCCUGGCAAGGUGAACCUUCGGCCCAGCGUGGAGGACUCUCAGCCUGGUGUGGUGGGCUCUUGGCCCAGCAUUUAUUACUGAUAUGUGGCAGUUUCUCUGCCUGGCAUGGCAUCAGUGCGGAUGUCCAGUCUCAAGGUGAUCCCUCAAAGUGCAGACCCACCGAAGCUAAGCACUUAAGGAAAGACUGCAAUGUUGGAAAUUUCAGCUUUAUUUCUUUAUUUUCUGCUUAAAACUAAGAAGAUCUGCAACUUUUAACCGUGUUUCAUAUGUUUUGAGCUAUACAAUAAUUACUGCAAUGUCCAACUUCUAAUUUUGUUAUUUCUUUUUAUCUUGUUCUUAAAAUUCUAUAUCUUGAUACUUAUUAUACACUUUUCACUGUACUCCUGUACUUUUAUACAUAAGUACAAGUGACAAUCAAAUCAAAUUUCACCAGGGCCACUUUGCUCCUGACAUUAUAGCUUUGGUCAAAACAUGGUAGAGGAUCUGAAUUCGAGAGGGGAAGUAACAGUGACUGCCUUUGAUGUCAAGGCAGCACUUGAGUAGGUUUGGCACCAAGGCAUCCUUACAAAAUUGGAGGGUAUUAUGUGACAGCUGUCUGGGUAAUACUUUGAACAAAAGAAAUUAGCAGUAGUUGUUAGAGGUAUGAUGAAAGGUAUGUGAUUUACAUACACAUAAUUACUUGAUAGUUUGGCAGAUGGGUGUUGUCACAUAGUGAAGAAGUGUGAAAAAUGCAAAGUCCUUUCUAGAGCCUAAUUGUGUAUGAGUCAGAACAGGUGAGCUCAAGCCUCCUGGAGUGUCACUGGAAGACUUUUUGUUUGCACUGUGGAGAUUAUAUCUGGGAUUAAACAUUGGCAGAGAUUAACUUGCUUUUGGUUUAAGAUAAUCAAGGAUUGCUGUGAUCCUUGAAAAACAGAAAUUAACAGGGUUUACAUGAAAGAACUGAGGAGACCCAGUUAAGUCAAACUUAAAAGAUUUGAGACAGUAUCUGGAGUUGAAAUGUGGUAACGUGGCGAUGUUGAAGAAUAGAUGAGACUCUGUUAUGGCAUGUGUUUAAGAUCUUUCAGAUUG